rnacentral:lncRNA from 1 species
UGAAGACCAUUCUUCGCAAUCAGACUCUUGACAUUCCCAAAGAUGUCAACAUCACUCCGAAGGGACACAGUUAUUGUGAAGGGCCCCAGAGGAACCCUGUGGAGGGACUUCACUUACAUCAGUGGAGAAUUCAGUCUCCUUAGAAAGGAAAAGAAGAGGCUCCAGGUUGACAAAGUGUGGGGAAAUAGAAAGGACCUGGAUACCAUUGGCACUAUUUGUAGUCACAAACAGAACAUGAUCCAGGGUGCUGCACGGGGCUUCUGUUGUAAGACGAGAGCUGUGCAUGCGCACUUCCCCAUCAACAUUGUUAGCCAGGAGUCUUUUGUUGAAAUCUGAAAUUUCUUGGGUGAAAAAUAAAUCUGCAGGGUUUGGAUGAGGCCAGGUGUUGCUCAUUCAGUAUCUCAAGCCCAGAAAGACGAGUUAGUUCUUGAAGGAAAUGAUAUUGAACUUGUUUCAAAUUCAGCUGCUUUAAUUCAGCAAGCCACAACAGUUAAAAACAAGGAUAUUGGCAAAAAAAAUCAGAAAAUGUUUGGAGGGUAUCUGUAUCUCUGAACAAGGAACGGUUCAGCAGCCUGAUA